AGUCAAGUAAUUAGUGCCGGGGGUGGAUGCCUUGGCAGUCAGAGGCGAUGAAAGACGUGAUAGCCUGCGAAAAGCUCCGGGGAGGCGGCAAAUAUCCUUUGAUCCGGAGAUGUCUGAAUGGGGGAUCCCACCUACUUUAAGGUAGGUAUUGCAACAUGAAUACAUAGUGUUGCAAGGCGAACGAGGGGAAGUGAAACAUCUCAGUACCCUUAGGAAAAGAAAUCAAUUGAGAUUCCCUCAGUAGCGGCGAGCGAACGGGGAUCAGCCCAUUAAGUUAUGUGUGUUUUAGUGGAACGCUCUGGGAAGUGCGAACGUAGAGGGUGAUAUUCCCGUACACGAAAGGGCACACAUAAUGAUGACGAGUAGGGCGAGGCACGUGAAACCUUGUCUGAAUAUGGGGGGACCAUCCUCCAAGGCUAAAUACUCCUGACUGACCGAUAGUGAACCAGUACCGUGAGGGAAAGGCGAAAAGAACCCCUGUGAGGGGAGUGAAAUAGAUCCUGAAACCGCAUGCAUACAAGCAGUGGGAGCACCUUCGUGGUGUGACUGCGUACCUUUUGUAUAAUGGGUCAGCGACUUAUAUUCAGUAGCGAGGUUAACCGUAUAGGGGAGCCGUAGAGAAAUCGAGUCUUAAUAGGGCGUUUAGUUGCUGGGUAUAGACCCGAAACCAGGCGAUCUAUCCAUGAGCAGGUUGAAGGUUGGGUAACACUAACUGGAGGACCGAACCCACUGUCGUUGAAAAGCCAGGGGAUGACUUGUGGAUAGGGGUGAAAGGCUAAUCAAGCCUGGUGAUAGCUGGUUCUCCCCGAAAGCUAUUUAGGUAGCGCCUCGGACGAAUACCAUAGGGGGUAGAGCACUGUUUCGGCUAGGGGGUCAUCCCGACUUACCAAACCGAUGCAAACUCCGAAUACCUAUGAGUACUAUCCGGGAGACAGACUGCGGGUGCUAACGUCCGUAGUCAAGAGGAAAACAAUCCAGACCGCCAGCUAAGGCCCCAAAAUCAUAGUUAAGUGGGAAACGAUGUGGGAAGGCAUAGACAGCUAGGAGGUUGGCUUAGAAGCAGCCACCCUUUAAAGAAAGCGUAAUAGCUCACUAGUCGAGUCGGCCUGCGCGGAAGAUGUAACGGGGCUAAAACUAUGUGCCGAAGCUGCGGAUGUAUACUUUGUAUACGUGGUAGGGGAGCGUUCUGUAAGCCGAUGAAGGUGUGUUGAGAAGCAUGCUGGAGGUAUCAGAAGUGCGAAUGCUGACGUGAGUAACGACAAAACGGGUGAAAAACCCGUUCGCCGAAAGACCAAGGGUUCCAGUCCAACGUUAAUCGGGGCUGGGUGAGUCGACCCCUAAGGCGAGGCCGAAAGGCGUAGUCGAUGGGAAAAUGGUUAAUAUUCCAUUACUUCUGUGUAAUGCGAUGAGAGGACGGAGAAGGCUAAAUCAGCCUGGCGUUGGUUGUCCAGGUGAAAGGAUGUAGGCAUGUAUCUUAGGCAAAUCCGGGGUACUCUAUGCUGAGAUCUGAUAGCAAGCUGUACUUGUACAGCGAAGUGGUUGAUGCCAUGCUUCCAGGAAAAGUCUCUAAGCUUCAGUUACACAGGAAUCGUACCCGAAACCGACACAGGUGGUCAGGUCGAGUAGACCAAGGCGCUUGAGAGAACUCUGCUGAAGGAACUAGGCAAAAUGGUACCGUAACUUCGGGAGAAGGUACGCUGUUGUUGGUGAUGGAACUCGCUUCCUGAGCUGACGACAGCCGCAGAAACCAGGCCGCUGCAACUGUUUAUUAAAAACAUAGCACUCUGCAAACACGAAAGUGGACGUAUAGGGUGUGAUGCCUGCCCGGUGCUGGAAGGUUAAUUGAUGGGGUUAGCGUAAGCGAAGCUCUUGAUCGAAGCCCCAGUAAACGGCGGCCGUAACUAUAACGGUCCUAAGGUAGCGAAAUUCCUUGUCGGGUAAGUUCCGACCUGCACGAAUGGCAUAAUGAUGGCGGCGCUGUCUCCAGCAGAGGCUCAGUGAAAUCGAAAUCGCUGUGAAGAUGCAGUGUACCCGCGGCUAGACGGAAAGACCCCGUGAACCUUUACUGCAGCUUGACACUGAACUUUGACCUUACUUGUGUAGGAUAGGUGGGAGGCUUUGAAGCUGGAACGCUAGUUCCAGUGGAGCCGUCCUUGAAAUACCACCCUGGUAAUGUUGAGGUUCUAACUCUGUCCCGUGAUCCGGGACGAGGACCGUGUCUGGUGGGUAGUUUGACUGGGGCGGUCUCCUCCUAAAGAGUAACGGAGGAGUACGAAGGUGCGCUCAGCGUGGUCGGAAAUCACGCGUAGAGUAUAAAGGCAAAAGCGCGCUUAACUGCGAGACCCACAAGUCGAGCAGGUACGAAAGUAGGUCUUAGUGAUCCGGUGGUUCUGUAUGGAAGGGCCAUCGCUCAACGGAUAAAAGGUACUCUGGGGAUAACAGGCUGAUACCGCCCAAGAGUUCAUAUCGACGGCGGUGUUUGGCACCUCGAUGUCGGCUCAUCUCAUCCUGGGGCUGAAGCAGGUCCCAAGGGUAUGGCUGUUCGCCAUUUAAAGAGGUACGCGAGCUGGGUUUAGAACGUCGUGAGACAGUUCGGUCCCUAUCUACCGUGGGCGCUGGAAAUUUGAGAGGAUCUGCUCCUAGUACGAGAGGACCAGAGUGGACGAACCUCUGGUGUACCGGUUGUGACGCCAGUCGCAUCGCCGGGUAGCUAUGUUCGGAAGGGAUAACCGCUGAAAGCAUCUAAGCGGGAAGCCUACCUCAAGAUAAGAUUUCCCUAGGACUUUAUGUCCUCUAAAGAGCCGUUCGAGACUAGGACGUUGAUAGGUUGGAUGUGGAAGCAUAGUGAUAUGUGAAGCUGACCAAUACUAAUUGCUCGUGAGGCUUGACUAU
rnacentral:rRNA from 1 species